UACAAUGAAGAGUUUGAUCCUGGCUCAGGAUGAACGCUAGCGGCAGGCCUAAUACAUGCAAGUCGAACGGUAACAUUGGUGCUUGCACCAGAUGACGAGUGGCGCACGGGUGCGUAACGCGUAUGCUACCUACCUUUUACUAGAGUAUAGCCCAGAGAAAUUUGGAUUAAUCCUCUAUAACAUCUUUAAGUUUCAUAAUUUUUAGAUUAAAGUUUUUAACGGUAAAAGAUGGGCAUGCGUCCUAUUAGUUUGUAGGUGAGGUAACGGCUCACCUAGACUACGAUAGGUAGGGGCCCUGAGAGGGGGAUCCCCCACACUGGUACUGAGACACGGACCAGACUCCUACGGGAGGCAGCAGUAAGGAAUAUUGGACAAUGGACGAAAGUCUGAUCCAGCCAUGCCGCGUGCAGGAUGAAAGCCCUAUGGGUUGUAAACUGCUUUUAUACAGGAAGAAACACUCCGACGUGUCGGAGCUUGACGGUACUGUAAGAAUAAGGAUCGGCUAACUCCGUGCCAGCAGCCGCGGUAAUACGGAGGAUCCAAGCGUUAUCCGGAAUCAUUGGGUUUAAAGGGUCCGCAGGGGGUCUUUUAAGUCAGAGGUGAAAGCCUACAGCUCAACUGUAGAACGGCCUUUGAUACUGAAAGACUUGAGUUAUUGUGAAGUGAUUAGAAUGUGUGGUGUAGCGGUGAAAUGCAUAGAUAUCACACAGAAUACCGAUUGCGAAGGCAGAUCACUAAUAAUAUACUGAUGCUCAUGGACGAAAGCGUGGGGAGCGAACAGGAUUAGAUACCCUGGUAGUCCACGCCGUAAACGAUGGAUACUAGCUGUUCGUCUAACAUUGGUUAGAUGAGUGGCUAAGCGAAAGUGAUAAGUAUCCCACCUGGGGAGUACGGUCGCAAGACUGAAACUCAAAGGAAUUGACGGGGGCCCGCACAAGCGGUGGAGCAUGUGGUUUAAUUCGAUGAUACGCGAGGAACCUUACCAGGACUUAAAUGUAAGUUGCAUGAUUCAGAAAUGGAUCUUUCUUCGGACUACUUACAAGGUGCUGCAUGGUUGUCGUCAGCUCGUGCCGUGAGGUGUCAGGUUAAGUCCUAUAACGAGCGCAACCCCUAUCGUUAGUUGCCAUCAAGUAAAGUUGGGAACUCUAGCGAAAC
rnacentral:rRNA from 1 species